AGUUUGCUAUAUCCAAAUUGGGCGUGGCCGAUCCGGGGUUAGUAACACAGUCAGGUGUGUGUAACCCGCCGGAUGAUCCUCGAUCUGGACUCACAGUGUCUGAAUCAUUUGUUGCUAAAACAAUAAUAGUUAUAAGCAAUGCAAAAAUAAUGACGGCGACUAUUCCUACUGCUAACUUGGUUCUAUUUUUAGAAAGAUUAUCAAAGCUUCCACCUCCCAUCCUGUCAACUUUGUAGCUGGUCAUAUUUCAAUUUACCAGCUUUCAACCUAUGACUGUUUAUUACACAUCUAUACCGUACUAUGUCAAGUAAACCAUAAACUUGUAAAUUUUAUUGUGUCUUCGUUCACAAAAUUUCUACGCGACGUUUAAAUUGUG
rnacentral:lncRNA from 1 species